rnacentral:rRNA from 1 species
GACAGAGGGUGCAAACGUUGUUCGGAUUUAUUGGGCGUAAAGAGCGUGUAGGCGGCUUGACAGGUCUGCUGUGAAAACUCGAGGCUCAACCUCGAGAUGUCGGCGGAAACCGUCUGGCUAGAGUCCGGGAGAGGAGAGUGGAAUUCCUGGUGUAGCGGUGAAAUGCGCAGAUAUCAGGAGGAACACCGGUGGCGAAGGCGG